rnacentral:rRNA from 1 species
GGGCCCGCACAAGCCGGUGGAGCAUGUGGUUUAAUUCGAUGAUACGCGAGGAACCUUACCAAGGCUUAAAUGUAGAGGGACAGGCGGCGAAAGUUCGCCCUUCUUCGGACUCUCUACAAGGUGCUGCAUGGUUGUCGUCAGCUCGUGCCGUGAGGUGUCGGGUUAAGUCCCAUAACGAGCGCAACCCCUAUCUUUAGUUGCCAGCGGUUCGGCCGGGGACUCUAAAGAAACUGCCCGCGCAAGCGGUGAGGAAGGUGGGGAUGACGUCAAAUCAUCACGGCCCUUACGUCUUGGGCUACACACGUGCUACAAUGGUAGUGACAAUGGGCAGCCACUCCGCGAGGAGGCGCAAA